rnacentral:rRNA from 1 species
CUCAGUUCGGAUUGGAGGCUGAAACCCGCCUCCAUGAAGUUGGAUUCGCUAGUAAUCGCGCAUCAGCCAUGGCGCGGUGAAUACGUUCCCGGGCCUUGUACACACCGCCCGUCAAGCCAUGGAAGCUGGGGGUGCCUGAAGUUCGUGACCGGAAGGAGCGACCUAGGGCAAAACCGGUGACUGGGGCUAAGUCGUAACAAGGUAGC